GCGGAAGUGGCUCAAUGGUAGAGCGUCAGCUUCCCAAGCUGAACGUUGCGGGUUCGAGUCCCGUCUUCCGCU
rnacentral:tRNA from 1 species